rnacentral:misc_RNA from 1 species
UUUUAUGUUUAGGGACUUGCUAGCAUCUUUUUUAUCAAAAUUAUUUCCUUGAUUGGCAUGUUUUAUGUUCUUCUCCUUGUUUCUGGAUUGAGAUGGUGGAGUGGCCUCAACAUUCUUUCCUUGGUUUCCAUCAUUUACGUUCUUUUCCUUGUUUCUAGAUAAAGAUCGUGGAGUUGCCUCAACAUUCUUUCCUGGGUUGCCAUUUUUUAUGUUCUUCCCCUUGUUUCUGGAUUGAGAUCGUGGAGUGGCCUCAACAUUAUCUCCUUGGUUGACAUCUUGUAUGUUCUUCUCCAUGUUUCUGGAUUGAGACUGUGGAGUGGCCUCAGCUUCUUUCAUUUGUGCAGAGUUUAAGUUGAAUUUUUUUGCAAGCAUACCUUUAGCCUUUAGUACCUUCGGG